GACGAACGCUGGCGGCGUGCUUAACACAUGCAAGUCGAACGGAAAGGCCCUGCUUUUGUGGGGUGCUCGAGUGGCGAACGGGUGAGUAACACGUGAGUAACCUGCCCUUGACUUUGGGAUAACUUCAGGAAACUGGGGCUAAUACCGGAUAGGAGCUCCUGCUGCAUGGUGGGGGUUGGAAAGUUUCGGUGGUUGGGGAUGGACUCGCGGCUUAUCAGCUUGUUGGUGGGGUAGUGGCUUACCAAGGCUUUGACGGGUAGCCGGCCUGAGAGGGUGGCCGGCCACAUUGGGACUGAGAUACGGCCCAGACUCCUACGGGAGGCAACAGUGGAGAAUAUUGCACAAUAGGCGGAAGCCUGAUGCAGCAACGCCGCGUGCGGGAUGACGGCCUUCGGGUUGUAAACCGCUUUCGCCUGAGACGAAGCGUGAGUGACGGUAAUGGGUAAAGAAGCACCGGCUAACUACGUG
rnacentral:rRNA from 1 species